UGAGUUUGAUCCUGGCUCAGGAUGAACGCUGGCGGCGUGCCUAAUACAUGCAAGUCGAGCGAACGGACGAGAAGCUUGCUUCUCUGAUGUUAGCGGCGGACGGGUGAGUAACACGUGGAUAACCUACCUAUAAGACUGGGAUAACUUCGGGAAACCGGAGCUAAUACCGGAUAAUAUUUUGAACCGCAUGGUUCAAAAGUGAAAGACGGUCUUGCUGUCACUUAUAGAUGGAUCCGCGCUGCAUUAGCUAGUUGGUAAGGUAACGGCUUACCAAGGCAACGAUGCAUAGCCGACCUGAGAGGGUGAUCGGCCACACUGGAACUGAGACACGGUCCAGACUCCUACGGGAGGCAGCAGUAGGGAAUCUUCCGCAAUGGGCGAAAGCCUGACGGAGCAACGCCGCGUGAGUGAUGAAGGUCUUCGGAUCGUAAAACUCUGUUAUUAGGGAAGAACAUAUGUGUAAGUAACUGUGCACAUCUUGACGGUACCUAAUCAGAAAGCCACGGCUAACUACGUGCCAGCAGCCGCGGUAAUACGUAGGUGGCAAGCGUUAUCCGGAAUUAUUGGGCGUAAAGCGCGCGUAGGCGGUUUUUUAAGUCUGAUGUGAAAGCCCACGGCUCAACCGUGGAGGGUCAUUGGAAACUGGAA
rnacentral:rRNA from 1 species